UGACUGUAGGUGAAAGCUUACAUCUCUUCGGAGCAUUUUACGAGGUGCUGCAUGGUUGUCGUCAGCUCGUGCCGUGAGGUGUCGGGUUAAGUCCCAUAACGAGCGCAACCCCUACCUUAGUUGCCAUCAGGUUAAGCUGGGGACUCUAAAGGAACUGCCUACGCAAGUAGUGAGGAAGGCGGGGAUGACGUCAAAUCAGCACGGCCCUUACGUCCAGGGCUACACACGUGCUACAAUGGCCGAUACAGAGGGCAGCUACCUGGUGACAGGAUGCAAAUCUCCAAAGUCGGUCUCAGUUCGGAUCGGAGUCUGCAACCCGACUCCGUGAAGUUGGAUUCGCUAGUAAUCGCGCAUCAGCCAUGGCGCGGUGAAUACGUUCCCGGGCCUU
rnacentral:rRNA from 1 species